UCUGUGUGUGUGUUUAGUCCAGUGGUUGUUCACUGCUCCAUCAGUGCUGGUGGAUCCCACAGCAGUGUUUACAGCGGGCUGUCUCCAUGACAACAACCAGUAGCACACGUAAAAGCCUCAUUUAAACAGGGCGGCCUCCAAGACUUUGACCUGGUGUCAUUUCCACAGACGAU